rnacentral:tRNA from 1 species
GGUGUGAUGGCCGAGUGGUUAAGGCGUUGGACUUGAAAUCCAAUGGGGUUUCCCCGCGCAGAUUCAAACCCUGCUCACAGUG